rnacentral:ncRNA from 1 species
CCUAAUACAUGCAAGUCGAGCGCAGGAAGCAAGCAAUCACCCUUCGGGGUGUGCGCUUGUGGAAUGAGCGGCGGACGGGUGAGUAACACGUGGGCAACCUACCUGUAAGACUGGGAUAACUCCGGGAAACCGGGGCUAAUACCGGAUAAAACAUUGGUUUGCAUAAACCAAUGAUGAAAGGACUUAACUAUAUUAAAAAGCGGAAACAACCGUUUAACAACGCAGUGGCUGGAGACAAUUAACUGAGAUAAAGGAAUCACAAUUUCUGACAAGAAAUUGAUGAUGACUUAUCGUAGGGCGAUUGG